UACGUAGGGGGCAAGCGUUGUCCGGAUUUAUUGGGCGUAAAGAGCGUGUAGGCGGCCAUGUAGGUCCGUUGUGAAAACUCGAGGCUCAACCUCGAGACGCCGAUGGAAACCAUGUGGCUAGAGUCCGGAAGAGGAGAGUGGAAUUCCUGGUGUAGCGGUGAAAUGCGCAGAUAUCAGGAGGAACACCGGUGGCGAAGGCGGUCUCUGGGACUGGCUGAUGCGCUGAGGAGCGAAAAGCGUGGGGGAGCGAACAGG
rnacentral:rRNA from 1 species